UUCAGUAACAAUCAAGAAUUCCUCCUAGAUUGUUGUUUAUGUCACGCCCCGAGGUCCCUUUUAGUUUGAAACACAGCGGAAAAGCGUCUAAUUUUUUUUUUGAAAAUCUGAUCCCAGAGUAUGCCAGAUCCGCCACAAAUACAGAAAAUCCACUAUUCACACGGACAGAGUCUCCCCUGUAUUUGCACGGCAUCGCACAAUUACAACAAGUAAACAGGAUACAACCACAACUAAAUAAAUAUAGAGAUAACUAUACAUUCAUACAUUCACCAUUCACAUCAUAGAUUUACAUUCAAUGUCUAAACAUAAAUCCACAGAAAACCUUUUGAAAACUGUUCCCUACUCGAAAACUUUUAUCUUUUAAAAACGUUACCACGAGGGGUAGAAAAUUAUUUUCCCUUUUCACAAAAUCCACGAGUUCUAUAGUUCAUUCAAAACUACAU
rnacentral:lncRNA from 1 species